rnacentral:rRNA from 1 species
GACGAACGCUGGCGGCGUGCCUAAUACAUGCAAGUAGGCCGCAGUUGCGAACGAGUGAGUAACGCGUAGGUAACUACAUAUUAGAGGGGGAUAACUAUUGGAAUCGAUAGCUAAUACCGCAUACUAGUAGAUGGACCUGCGUUGUAUUAGCUAGUAGGUAGGGUCAUGGCCUACCUAGGCAACGAUACAUAGCCGACCUGCGAGAGUGAUCGGCCACCCUGGGACGGAGAUACGGCUCAGACUCCUACCGGAGGCAGCAGUAGGGAAACCUCGGCAAUGGGGGUCACCCUGACCGAGCAACGCCGCGUGAGGGAAGAGGGUUUUCGGAUCGUUAAACUCUGUUCUUACUGAAGCGGUACUUAACCAGUAAGGUACGGAUAACUACUUGCCAGCAGCCGCGGUAAUUC